rnacentral:rRNA from 1 species
GACAGAGGUGCCAAGCGUUAGGCGGAAUCACUGGGCUUAAAGCGUGUGUAGGCGGCUCGUUGAGUACCUUGUGAAAUCCCCGGGCUCAACCCGGGAACUGCGUCCGAUACUGGCAGGCUUGAAUUCGGGAGAGGGAUGUGGAAUUCCAGGUGUAGCGGUGAAAUGCGUAGAUAUCUGGAGGAACACCGGUGGCGAAGGCGGCAUCCUGGACCGAGAUUGACGCUGAUGCGCGAAAGCCAGGGGAGCAAACGGG